rnacentral:piRNA from 1 species
GUAAAUCUUUUGGCUUGUCAGUGACCUGG